CCUACGGGAGGCAGCAGUGGGGAAUAUUGCACAAUGGGCGAAAGCCUGAUGCAGCGACGCCGCGUGAGGGAUGACGGCCUUCGGGUUGUAAACCUCUUUCAGUAGGGAACAAGGCCAGUGUUUAGCUGGUUGAGGGUACUUGCAGAAGAAGCGCCGGCUAACUACGUGCCAGCAGCCGCGGUAAUACGUAGGGCGCAAGCGUUAUCCGGAAUUAUUGGGCGUAAAGAGCUCGUAGGCGGUUUGUCGCGUCUGCCGUGAAAGUCCGGGGCUCAACCCCGGAUCUGCGGUGGGUACGGGCAGACUAGAGUGAUGUAGGGGAGACUGGAAUUCCUGGUGUAGCGGUGAAAUGCGCAGAUAUCAGGAGGAACACCGAUGGCGAAGGCAGGUCUCUGGGCAUUAACUGACGCUGAGGAGCGAAAGCAUGGGGAGCGAACAGGAUUAGAUACCCUGGUAGUCCAUGCCGUAAACGUUGGGCACUAGGUGUGGGGGACAUUCCACGUCUUCCGCGCCGUAGCUAACGCAUUAAGUGCCCCGCCUGGGGAGUACGGCCGCAAGGCUAAAACUCAAAGGAAUUGACGG
rnacentral:rRNA from 1 species